CCCCGAGAUGAGUUCUCCCUGACUCCCUGAGAGUCCUGAAGGAACGUUGAAGACGACGACGUUGAUAGGCCGGGUGUGUAAGCGCAGCGAUGCGUUGAGCUAACCGGUACUAAUGAACCGUGAGGCUUAACCUU
rnacentral:rRNA from 1 species